GUCAAGGAAGACUUCUUAUCUACAUACAACUGUAAGCUUUUAAAACAGCAGGGCUCUAUCAUAAAUAGAUUCUGCACCUUUCUGCAUCUAACACAUGAACCAACAUCAUCAUUGCCUUCUUCAAAGUGAUCUGAUGUACUGCUAUCCAGGACAUUAAGUUCGGACACAUUUGAAGGCAGAACGCUUAUCCUUCUUGGCUUCAGACCGGCAUGUGGAUUUGGCAGAAGAUUCGGGUGACUUCUUAUCCUCAGUCCUAUAUAACCAGGCUAGGGGAAACGGCUUUUUACUGCUGGAGCUGUGAGAAUCUAGAAUAUCCAGAAUUAAGUUCUGAUGGCUGUCCUGAGCAGCUACUUCAAAUGAGGGGUAUUUGUUUCCUUUCUGUGCAAGCACCGGAAGUGAACAUUCUCUGAAGAUUGCUCAGUGCCCAGAAGACAGCAGGAGGCAUGAGAUCCCUAUUGCAACCACGGCUGAGGUUGUAAAUGACACCGUGCAAUUGGAAGCUCUGCCUCCUUUUAAAUGAUUACUCUUAAAAGAUGCAACCUCCAAAUGAAACUGUAAUCCAGCCUAGCUAAAAAUAGACUCCCUGUUCACUCAGCUUAGAUUUUCUUAAAUUGUUCCUCCCUUUCUUUGAAAUGUCAGUCUUCUCUUUUUUUUCUCUACUUCCCACCUGCAUAGCCUGGCAUAUUAGGGCAGUGCUACUUGUCAUAAAUAGAAAGAACUAAUAUACGAGGUGAGCUAUUCAACUCACAUGUCCCAGGCCCCACAUGAAGGGCCAUGGUCAUACCUCCCAUCCAUUAGGAUGGCUACAAGCGAAAAAAACGGAAGAUAAGAACUGUUUCCAAGCAUGUGGGGAAAUUGGAAGCCUGCUGUACCACUGGUGGAAUUAUAAAACAGUGAAACUGCUGUGGAAAUGAGUUUGGUGGUGACAUGCAUGGAAUUGUGUCCCCAAAAAUUCAUACAUUAAAGCCCUAACACCUAAUAUGACUGUACCAUAUUUAGCUAUGAAGCCUUCCAAAGAUAACAGGACGUUGAAUUAGAGCCCCACACCAUAGGUCCUUCUCAGCUUAUAUUCUUAUACGGACACCCAAUAGAAUGGGUUUCCAUAUAAGAAGAGGAAGAGCUAUUAGAAGUGUGGGUCCACCACCCACCACAUAACUCCAUGCUGAUAGAUCACCCUCUACCCACACUGCACCUCUAUGCUGAUAGAUCACCCUCCACCCACACUGCACCUCCAUCCUGACAGAUCACCCUCACACACACUGCACCUCUAUGUUGAUAGAUCACCCUCCACCCACACUGCACCUCCAUCCUGAUAGAUCACCCUCCACCCACACUGCACCUCCAUCCUGAUAGAUCACCAUCCACCCACACUGCACCUCCAUGCUGACACAUCACUCUCCACCCACACAGCACCUCCAUGUUGAUAGAUCACCCUUCACCCACACUGCACCUCCAUCCUGAUAGAUCACCCUCACACACACUGCACCUCCACCCAGAACAUACUUUCAUGCUGAAAGAGCACCAUUCCUUAUCUCACCUUUAUCUUCCCUCUACUUUUUCUUGUUUCUUUAAUAUACUCAUAGCUCCUUUGAUCUAUCAAUGUCUUGAGAUUACUUUAGUUAGCUUAUAAUUCUUAUAAUUAAUUUGUGGGUGUUUGUGAAUGACUAUUAUUGCUGUCAAAUAACAAUUAAAAUACACUGUAAUAUGUUUUCUUAAAAUGCCUCUUCUAUAAAAUGAAAUUAAUAUUAUAUUUCAUUUACUCUAGCAGGCAUUGAAAGAAGUAUUCUUUUUUUUUUUUCUUUUUUUUUUUGAGAUGGAGUUUCGCUCUGUUGCCCAGGCUGGAGUGCAAUGGCGCAAUCCUGUCUCACUGCAGCCUCUGCCUCCCAGGUUCAAGUGAUUCUCCUGCCUCAGCACCCCCGAGUAGCUGGGACUAUAGGCGUGCACCACCACGCCUGGCUAAUUUUUGUUUUUUUUUAGUAGAGACAGGGUUUUGGCCAGGCUGGUCUUGAACUCCUGACCUCAGGUGAUUCACCUGCCUAGGCCUCCCAAAGUGCUGGGAUUACAGGAGUGAGCCACUGCACCCGGCCUAAAGAAGUAUUCUUGUCUCUCCUUGAAUUACAUUAUUUAUGAAUGUUUAUUUUAUCCUCCAAACCUAGAUGUUUUUGUUUUGUUUCGUUUUGUUUUGUUUUUUUGAGACAGAGUUUCACUCUUGUUGCCCCAGGCUUCAGUGCAAUGGCGCAAUCUUGGCUCACCGCAACCUCCACCUCCCAGGUUCAAGCAAUGAUUCUCCUGCCUCAGCCUCCUGAAUAGCUGGGACUAUAGGCACCCGCUGCCACACUCGGCUAAUUUUUGUAUUUUUAGUAGAGACGGGGUUUCACAAUGUUCGUCAGGCUGGUCUUGAACUCCUGACCUCGUGAUCCACCCGCCUCAGCCUCCCAAAGUGCUGGGAUUACAGGCGUGAGCCACCACACCCGACCUGUUUUGAUUUUUGAUUUCAUGAUUUUUCCUAGGGAAAAUUGUAUGACUCAUUUUUGGGUGUUUUUUUCCAAUGGUGUACAUGUUAAUAUGAAUGCAUUUGUUGUAAAUUUAUUUUGUAAUUUAGAUUUUCCAUGAUUUUAGAUUUUAGAUGACAACAGAUUGAUGUAUAAAACCUUAUUGCCUAAAAAUCACUAAUUUAAUGAAUUCGUACUAAGCAGGGUAGGGAGAGAGAUAAUUUGGGAUUUUAUGUUCUUUAAUUUUAUCAGCUUAACUAAUAAUUUCAAUGCUGG
rnacentral:lncRNA from 1 species